rnacentral:rRNA from 1 species
CUUAACCGGGCGUUAAGUUGCAGGGUAUAGACCCGAAACCCGGUGAUCUAGCCAUGGGCAGGUUGAAGGUUGGGUAACACUAACUGGAGGACCGAACCGACUAAUGUUGAAAAAUUAGCGGAUGACUUGUGGCUGGGGGUGAAAGGCCAAUCAAACCGGGAGAUAGCUGGUUCUCCCCGAAAGCUAUUUAGGUAGCGCCUCGUGAAUUCAUCUCCGGGGGUAGAGCACUGUUUCGGCAAGGGGGUCAUCCCGACUUACCAACCCGAUGCAAACUGCGAAUACCGGAGAAUGUUAUCACGGGAGACACACGGCGGGUGCUAACGUCCGUCGUGAAGAGGGAAACAACCCAGACCGCCAGCUAAGGUCCCAAAGUCAUGGUUAAGUGGGAAACGAUGUGGGAAGGCCCAGACAGCCAGGAUGUUGGCUUAGAAGCAGCCAUCAUUUAAAGAAAGCGUAAUAGCUCACUGGUCGAGUCGGCCUGCGCGGAAGAUGUAACGGGGCUAAACCAUGCACCGAAGCUGCGGCAGCGACACUGUGUGUUGUUGGGUAGGGGAGCGUUCUGUAAGCCUGUGAAGGUGUGCUGUGAGGCAUGCUGGAGGUAUCAGAAGUGCGAAUGCUGACAUAAGUAACGAUAAAGCGGGUGAAAAGCCCGCUCGCCGGAAGACCAAGGGUUCCUGUCCAACGUUAAUCGGGGCAGGGUGAGUCGACCCCUAAGGCGAGGCCGAAAGGCGUAGUCGAUGGGAAACAGGUUAAUAUUCCUGUACUUGGUGUUACUGCGAAGGGGGGACGGAGAAGGCUAUGUUGGCCGGGCGACGGUUGUCCCGGUUUAAGCGUGUAGGCUGGUUUUCCAGGCAAAUCCGGAAAAUCAAGGCUGAGGCGUGAUGACGAGGCACUACGGUGCUGAAGCAACAAAUGCCCUGCUUCCAGGAAAAGCCUCUAAGCAUCAGGUAACAUCAAAUCGUACCCCAAACCGACACAGGUGGUCAGGUAGAGAAUACCAAGGCGCUUGAGAGAACUCGGGUGAAGGAACUAGGCAAAAUGGUGCCGUAACUUCGGGAGAAGGCACGCUGAUAUGUAGGUGAAGUCCCUCGCGGAUGGAGCUGAAAUCAGUCGAAGAUACCAGCUGGCUGCAACUGUUUAUUAAAAACACAGCACUGUGCAAACACGAAAGUGGACGUAUACGGUGUGACGCCUGCCCGGUGCCGGAAGGUUAAUUGAUGGGGUCAGCGCAAGCGAAGCUCUUGAUCGAAGCCCCGGUAAACGGCGGCCGUAACUAUAACGGUCCUAAGGUAGCGAAAUUCCUUGUCGGGUAAGUUCCGACCUGCACGAAUGGCGUAAUGAUGGCCAGGCUGUCUCCACCCGAGACUCAGUGAAAUUGAACUCGCUGUGAAGAUGCAGUGUACCCGCGGCAAGACGGAAAGACCCCGUGAACCUUUACUAUAGCUUGACACUGAACAUUGAGCCUUGAUGUGUAGGAUAGGUGGGAGGCUUUGAAGUGUGGACGCCAGUCUGCAUGGAGCCGACCUUGAAAUACCACCCUUUAAUGUUUGAUGUUCUAACGUGGACCCGUGAUCCGGGUUGCGGACAGUGUCUGGUGGGUAGUUUGACUGGGGCGGUCUCCUCCUAAAGAGUAACGGAGGAGCACGAAGGUUGGCUAAUCCUGGUCGGACAUCAGGAGGUUAGUGCAAUGGCAUAAGCCAGCUUGACUGCGAGCGUGACGGCGCGAGCAGGUGCGAAAGCAGGUCAUAGUGAUCCGGUGGUUCUGAAUGGAAGGGCCAUCGCUCAACGGAUAAAAGGUACUCCGGGGAUAACAGGCUGAUACCGCCCAAGAGUUCAUAUCGACGGCGGUGUUUGGCACCUCGAUGUCGGCUCAUCACAUCCUGGGGCUGAAGUAGGUCCCAAGGGUAUGGCUGUUCGCCAUUUAAAGUGGUACGCGAGCUGGGUUUAGAACGUCGUGAGACAGUUCGGUCCCUAUCUGCCGUGGGCGCUGGAGAACUGAGGGGGGCUGCUCCUAGUACGAGAGGACCGGAGUGGACGCAUCACUGGUGUUCGGGUUGUCAUGCCAAUGGCACUGCCCGGUAGCUAAAUGCGGAAGAGAUAAGUGCUGAAAGCAUCUAAGCACGAAACUUGCCCCGAGAUGAGUUCUCCCUGACCCUUUAAGGGUCCUGAAGGAACGUUGAAGACGACGACGUUGAUAGGCCGGGUGUGUAAGCGCAGCGAUGCGUUGAGCUAACCGGUACUAAUGAACCGUGAGGCUUAACCUUACAACGCCGAAGGUGUUU